CCCUUAGAUGUUCUGGGCCGCACGCGCGCUACACUGAUACGUUCAACGAGUUUAUAACCUUGAUUGAUAGGUCUGGGUAAUCUUUUGAAUGCGUAUCGUGCUAGGGAUAGAUUAUUGCAAUUAUUAAUCUUGAACGAGGAAUUCCUAGUAAACGCAAGUCAUCAGCUUGCAUUGAUUACGUCCCUGCCCUUUGUACACACCGCCCGUCGCACCUACCGAUUGAAUGACUCGGUGAAAAAUCGGGACUGUGGUCUAGCUUGCUUAAUUGCAAACUUGACUGUGGGAACUUUCUUUAACCUAUUCAUUGAGAGGAAGGUGAAGUCGUAACA
rnacentral:rRNA from 1 species